GCAGUUGAUCUUCUUCUGUGACAUUUUAUUGGACGGUUUAUUUAAUACAAAUGUCUUUAAAAUAUAUUUAAUCUCUGAACCAAUCAACAAGGAUGGAUUGCCUGUUUAUGUUUUUUUUCAAAUUCCAACUUUUCCAGAGGACAAGUCAGUAACCCAAGUUCUGGAUAAGAGUCUCAAGAAAAAAGCUUCCCACCCAGUGCACGGACAAUGAAGAUGAAUAUCCAGGUGUUGUCGUCUAUGAUGACGAAGAGUUUCCUAUUUCCUCUCAACAACUUCCCACCCAGUGCACGGACAAUGAAGAUGAAUAUCCAGGUGUUGUCGUCUAUGAUGACGAAGAGUUUCCUAUUUCCUCUCAACAAGAAGGGCAGGACGUCUUAGAAAUUACUGCUUCUGGUGAAAGACAAGGCCAUCACAGCUCUGUGAGACCUUUCCAAUCUGCCCGAUAUGAGAAUGACGAUGCUGCAACUCCAGCCAGUCUUCAGGAGGAGGAGGGCAAAAAGAUGAAUGAAGGCACCUACAGCCAACACUCUACAUAAAUUGGCAAAUUGAGACUCUAGAAAGUCACUGGUCCUGGGCCAAGACUCAAUCACAUAACAGCAUUUUCUUAGGAGCAUCAUGUUUGUUUAGUCAGAGCGGAGCACGACUCCUGACUUUUCCCUGUGUUUUUUUAUAUAUCUGUUGUAAUUUAUUGUCUU